rnacentral:tRNA from 1 species
AGUGCCGUAGGCAAAUUGGAUUAAGCCACCUGCCUUUCAAGCAAGUGAUUGCGGGUUCGAGUCCCGUCGGCACUG